UAUUUAGUGAGAGGUUGUGAAAACUCAAUUAUUAAAGGAGGAAAAAAAUUGAAGGAAAAGAAUAUCAACUGAGGAGGAGUUUCCACUGAAAGGUCAUGUUCCUCAGGACACAUUUUUAUUAUCUCUACAUGUACGCUACCCUCAGCUCCUGCCUCUGGGUUCUUCUGCAUGUUUCUACACGCAUCUGUAAACUUGUGCAAGCUCAGGAAAGUAGUCUUUACUGCAGUUUAACGAGGUCGCUCUAUAAAACAGCAGAGAUUAGCAGGGGGAAAUUACACGACUGUCUAACAAAAACAAAAAGACCCGGGGAACGUCCAUCUUGUGACCUUUGACCUCAAUAAAUCUACAAGAGCUUGUUUCCACAGAUUUGGAUUGAGCUCUGGACUUUCAAUUCAUUCAGCUUCUCAGACAGGAACAUGGUUUCUUGUGGACUGCCCUGCCCCUCAAUUCUGACUAGUUUCCCAGUCGGCGCUGACAUGAUGCCACCACCACCACGCUUCACCGUGGGCGAGGAGCAGUAUGGUCUUUCUGACAAUAAGGACACUUGGUGCCAAACCCCAGAACUUCCAUUUUGGUUUCACCAAGAGACUUUUUUUUUUUUUUUUUAAAUAACAGCUUCCUGCUCUCCACUUUUUCAAAAAGCAGGGUCAAGGAUAUAGCUGUCCUGUGAACAACGUCUCCCGUUGAACAGUGGAUCUCUCCAGCUCCUUCAAAGUUACACUCAGCCUGCUUGGUUGCUUCUCUGACUAACCUCCUGUUGUGCGACAGUGGAUUUAAUGGAGCUCCACAGGGUGACAUUUUUUUUUUUUUUUUUUAACUGUGACUG